rnacentral:rRNA from 1 species
CCUACGGGGGGCAGCAGUAGGGAAUAUUGCGCAAUGGGGGAAACCCUGAAGCAGCAACGCCGCGUGGAGGAUGAAGGUUUUCGGAUUGUAAACUCCUUUUGUUAGAGACGAUAAUGACGGUAUUUAACGAAUAAGAACCGGCUAACUCCGUGCCAGCAGCCGCGGUAAUACGGAGGGUGCAAGCGUUACUCGGAAUCACUGGGUGUAAAGAGCGCGGAGGCGGGAUAGCAAGUCAGAUGUGAAAUCCUAUGGCUUAACCAUAGGACUGCAUUUGAAACUGUUAUUCUAGAGUAUGGGAGAGGUAAGUGGAAUUCUUGGUGUAGGGGUAAAAUCCGUAGAGAUCAAGAGGAAUACU